rnacentral:rRNA from 1 species
GAUGAAUGCUGGCGGCGUGCUUAACACAUGCAAGUCGAGCGGUAAGGCCCUUUUCGGGUACACGAGCGGCGGACGGCUGAGUAACUCGUGGGAACAUUCCCUAAAGAGAGGAAUAAGCUCCAGAAAUGGAGUCUAAUGCCGCAUAUGAUCUUCGGAGUAUAGGAUUUAUCCGCUUUAGGAGUGGCCUGCGUACGAUUAGCUUGUUGGUGAGGUAAUGGCUUACCAAGGCGACGAUCGUUAGCUGGUCUGAGAUGAUGACCAGCCAGACUGGAACUGAGACACGGUCCAGACUCCUACGGGAGGCAGCAGUGAGGAAUCUUCCACAAUGGGCGAAAGCCUGAUGGAGCAACGCCGCGUGCAGGAUGAAGGCCCUCGGGUCGUAAACUGCUUUUAUGAGUGAAGAAUAUGACGGUAACUCAUGAAUAAGCACCGGCUAACUACGUGCCAGCCGCCGCCGUAA